GAUGAACGCUGGCGGCGUGCCUAAUACAUGCAAGUCGAGCGAACGGACGAGAAGCUUGCUUCUCUGAUGUUAGCGGCGGACGGGUGAGUAACACGUGGAUAACCUACCUAUAAGACUGGGAUAACUUCGGGAAACCGGAGCUAAUACCGGAUAAUAUUUUGAACCGCAUGGUUCAAAAGUGAAAGACGGUCUUGCUGUCACUUAUAGAUGGAUCCGCGCUGCAUUAGCUAGUUGGUAAGGUAACGGCUUACCAAGGCAAGUAUGCAUGACCGACCUGAUAGGGUGAUCGGCCACCCUGGAACUGAGCCACCGUCCAGACUCCUACGGGAGGCAGCAGUAGGGAAUCUGCCGCAAUGGGCGAAAGCCUUACGGAGCAACGCCGCGUGAGUGAUGAAGGUCUUCGGAUCGUAAAACUCUGUUAUUAGGGAAGAACAUAUGUGUAAGUAACUGUGCACAUCUUGACGGUACCUAAUCAGAAAGCCACGGCUAACUACGUG
rnacentral:rRNA from 1 species